CCUUUGAUGACGACUGGCGCACGGGUGAGUAACGCGUAUCCAACCUUCCCAUAACUACGGGAUAACCCGUUGAAAGACGGCCUAAUACCGUAUGAUAUCGUUUGCUGACAUCAAAUAACGAUUAAAGGUUUAGCGGUUAUGGAUGGGGAUGCGUCUGAUUAGCUUGUUGGCGGGGUAACGGCCCACCAAGGCUACGAUCAGUAGGGGUUCUGAGAGGAAGGUCCCCCACAUUGGAACUGAGACACGGUCCAAACUCCUACGGGAGGCAGCAGGC
rnacentral:rRNA from 1 species